AUUUUAUAACAGUUGAGAAAAGCAUAUAAAUAAACCGCCAUAGGACAGAUAUAACAUUCGACUUUGAGCUUCAAGUAUCUCAUUCUACAACCGUAAAGAUGAGUUUUGCAUCAGCCUUCAUCGUGGCACUCGCUUCCUUUAUGGCAUUCGUUGAUUUCACGGUUGCUGAACCCACAGCUCAACCACCUAAGUCACAAUGGCGCCAUUAGCUAACUCUCUGACAUUUCUCGAUAUGAAUUUUGCAUCAGCUUUUAUCGUGGCACUUGCUACCUUUUAUACAUUCGUCGAUUUCACGAUUGCCAACCCCAUACCUGAUCACAUAGAAGGAGAUGGAUUUAGUCCUUGGGGGCAGUACAUGAUUAAUAAGAAAUAAAACUCUACAAAU